GUCCUGGCCGUAAACGGUGCACGUUUGCUGUAAGAGGAAUCGACCCCUCUUGUGGCGAAGCUAACGCGUUAAACGUGCCGCCUGGGAAGUACGGUCGCAAGAUUAAAACUCAAAGAAAUUGACGGGGCCUGCACAAGCGGUGGAGUAUGUGGCUUAAUUCGAUGCAACGCGAAGAACCUUACCUGGCCUUGACAUGCACAUAGUAGAAGCCUGAAAGGGUGACGAGGUAGCAAUACCAGUGUGCACAGGUGCUGCAUGGCUGUCGU
rnacentral:rRNA from 1 species